ensembl:lncRNA
CUUGAGCACCUGCCCCUUUGCCCUUUGGUGCCAAAAGUGCCCUUUUGUCAAAGCAAAAUUUCCUCUAUUUUUUUUUUUUUUUGUAAUAACAUGCCCUUUUGUGAAUGCCUUGUGAACAUGCCCAAUCUAAAUAUUAGUAAAAUUGAUGAAUAAUAAUUUAGCCGUAAAUAAAAUGACCCACAUGAUGACCUUUCACCUGACUACGACGACCUCAUCCGACCGGGACGAUUCCUCACACCGCACGCGCGUUUUUUAAUUGCCAGGGGAUAUUUUCAACACCGCGGCUGCUGUGGUCAAGGAAAACAAUGCACAUCUAGUUUUCCCCAACAUUACUCAGCUGCUGAAGACAUAUGGCACACCUCCGGUGUCCACAGCAACUGUGGAACGUUCCUUGUCAAAACUGAAGCUGGUGAAAACCAAACUUCGCAGCCUUUGCAAAGAGGAGAGAUUGUCUGACCUUCUUCUGUUGGCCACUGAGAAGGACAUUCCAGUAAAUGACAAUGAUGUCAUUAACAUUUUUAGGGACAUGUCCAACAGGAAACCUCUGUUAUAAGUGCCUACAACCACUCAUCCUCCACUUAUAGACACACUGGAGCUGUUAUUGGAAUUCAUUUCAUUUUCCCCUAGAAUCCUAUUGCCUUUGCAAAUUUUUCCAGACAAGGGGAGAUGUGAGGCAUAUUUCAAAUUUAAACAGGAUUCUCUGGGCACCCCUAAUAGCCUAGAUUGGGACCUCCCCAAGGGUUUACUGGGCCCUGAACUGGACCUUGGUUAGGCUGUUGCCAGCUCUCCUCCCUUCCACCCUGAGGAUGCUGUUACUGUUGGAUAGAGAAGCAGAGGAUAUUAUUGAAGAGGAUCAUGCAGAACCUGUGCAAGCACAGCUUUCACUGGCAAAGAAAAGAAAAAGAAGAAGAAGAAGGACACUAGUAGUGAGAGUGAUGAGUUAAACUCUUCAUCAUCUUCUUCCCUCCCUUCAUCUUCAUCGGAAGAUGAAAGAUGCAGCAAAAAAAAAUCAAAAAAGAAGAGAACCCAAAAGAAACGGUCAAGAUCUGCAUUCUCUAGUUCUGCAGUAAGAGCCAGGUGUCCAGAUGAUGUUCUCAAGAGAUACAAAAAAGUUCUCCGUGCGUUUAAAAAGGAAGGAAGCAUGACAAGAGCAUUCAUGAAGGUCGGAGUGGACAGAAACACCCUUGCCCUCACUGCAGUUGUGGCUGAGAUUCAAAUUAUCAGCCCAGAAUUUUAUCGCUCCAUCCCUCAGUUCCAGCCUCGUCAAGAGAAGCUUUUUGAUUUUGCCCUGAGGUGCUCAGAUGCCUUGACAACUGAG